GUGAUCACUUUGGCAGCACAUAUACUAAAAUUGGAAUGAUAUGGAGAAAAUUAGCAUGGCCCCUGUGCAAGGAUGGCACUCAAAUUUGUGAAGCGUUCCAUAUUUUU
rfam:Tupaia chinensis contig71133, whole genome shotgun sequence.